AGCGAACGCUGGCGGCAGGCUUAACACAUGCAAGUCGAGCGGGCACUUCGGUGUCAGCGGCAGACGGGUGAGUAACACGUGGGAACGUACCCUUCGGUUCGGAAUAACGCUGGGAAACUAGCGCUAAUACCGGAUACGCCCUUUUGGGGAAAGGUUUACUGCCAAAGGAUCGGCCCGCGUCUGAUUAGCUAGUUGGUGGGGUAAUGGCCUACCAAGGCGACGAUCAGUAGCUGGUCUGAGAGGAUGAUCAGCCACACUGGGACUGAGACACGGCCCAGACUCCUACGGGAGGCAGCAGUGGGGAAUAUUGGACAAUGGGCGCAAGCCUGAUCCAGCCAUGCCGCGUGAGUGAUGAAGGCCUUAGGGUUGUAAAGCUCUUUUGUCCGGGACGAUAAUGACGGUACCGGAAGAAUAAGCCCCGGCUAACUUCGUG
rnacentral:rRNA from 1 species